UUGGGUUGUGAAGGUAAUCCGAUAUAAGCAGGUGAAUCAUUUUUUGUUGGGGUUCCAGGUUCUGUUUCGGAAAGUAAAAUCGGAUGCCUUAAAGGAGAUGUUAUGUAUCCAGAAUUUGGGGAAGUUUUUUUAGGACUCAAUUUGUUAGCAUCAAUGGACAUAAGAGAGAUGCCUCGUCUUUUUGGAGAUAGAGAGUUGACGCUAGAGUAGGAUAUAUCUUGAUUGUUCCCCGUAGACGAUUGUUCUUCUCCUUCGAACCACUGCUCAAAGCAGGUGCUCAUAGGAGUGCUGAUGACUUGCUUAACUUGGUCUGAUACUUUGCUUUCAUGACCAGUAUCCUCGUUUAGUAGUUUUUUAUGCAAGAAUUCAUCGUAAGAUGGUAUGAAGCUGUCAAUAGAUAAAUCUAUUGAGCCAUUAGAUUCAUUAUUAAGCUCGCAAAGCGCUUCGUCUAAUUUAGAGAUUCGCGAUGCUUUCUGAAGCAAGAUUUCUCGUUGGUCGUCUAUUACUUUUGUGGGCGUAGAGGAACGCAACGGAUACUCCAUUUCCAUAUCUUCAUCAUCUGUAUUUUAUUUUAUUAACUUAUUAAUCUUCCAUUAAAAACACACGGCAUUACAUACCAACUGAAAUUGUAAAGUCAUUACCCAAUUGCUCAGCAAAUAUUUUUGUAUUUUUGUUAGCAGAAUCCAUUUAUAUAAUAAAGAAAAAAGGUUGAACAAGUGUCAUAAGGAUUUGACAAAAAA